GACGUAGGGCGCAAGCGUUGUCCGGAUUUAUUGGGCGUAAAGAGCGUGUAGGCGGCCAGGUAGGUCUGCUGUGAAAACUCGAGGCUCAACCUCGAGAUGUCGGCGGAAACCAUCUGGCUAGAGUCCGGAAGAGGAGAAUGGAAUUCCCGGUGUAGCGGUGAAAUGCGCAGAUAUCGGGAAGAACACCCGUGGCGAAGGCGGUUCUCUGGGACGGUACUGACGCUGGGGAGCGAAAGCGUGGGGAGCGAACAGG
rnacentral:rRNA from 1 species